ensembl:lncRNA
AUGGAUUUUUUCGUGAAGGAAAAAUUGCAACAAUGGAAUCUCUGCCAGUUAAUUGAAACAUUUCAAGAGGAAGGAGUGGAUGAACAAAGUUUUAUGCUACUGGAUGACACCAGCAUUGCUGCACUAAUCCCAAGAAUUGGUCUCAGGGUUAAAUUCAAGAAGUUUCAUUCAGAGUUUUUGGGAUACCUUCCACAACAGAUAAUUCGCACAACCAACAUAUUCCAGCACAGUCACCAUCAGAAGACACAAGUACACCAACAACAUUUGACUCUGGGGGUGAUGAGGAAACUGACAACUGGGAUGAUUUAGCAGAGGAAGAUAUCACAUACCGAGUGGCAAGCUUUCUUGCAAAGCUUAAAGCACAAUCAAAUCAAACCUAUUCUGCGAUUAAUUACAUGGUGAAGCACACAUCUACUUUGAUCACUGAUAUUGUACGAAACUUGCAGACGAAGACAAUGGCUCUGUUAGAUCGACUUGGCCACUCAGAUCAGCCUGAUGUCAGGACCCUUAACA